GACCGAACAUAGCCAGCGGCACCCAAGAUAAAAGUCGUAUAAUCGCAGUCGCAGAUACCAAAGCAUAGCUCCGAACACUGCCUCUGUUCAUCUGCCUGGUAGAGGUAGCACGCCAGAUCACCAGCGAUCCGCACGUCGCAGCAGAGCAAAGAUAUCGCGGGGAGCAAGAGUAGUCAACGCACGAAUGGUGGGCACGGUGUCGCUAGCGGCGGGCUACGGCUCCGAUGGCGUGUACCGCUCGCCGCGCCUGGUGGCUGCCAUCGCCUCCGACCCGGGCCUCUCCGUCACGGACCUCGUCCUUCGCCGCGCCGCGGCGUGCCCCUCCGCACCCGCGCUCGUGGACGCCGCGACGGGCCGCGCCCUCACCUUCGGGGCCCUCCGAUCCGCGGUGCUCGUCGCGGCCGCCGCGCUCUCCUCCCGCGCGGGCGUCCGCCGCGGCGACGCCGUGCUGCUCCUCGCGCCCAACUGCGUGCUCUACCCGGUCUGCUUUCUCGCCGUCACCGCGCUCGGCGCCGUCGCGACCACGGCUAACCCGCUCUACACCCCGCGGGAGAUCGCCAAGCAGGCCGCCGACGCCCGCGCCAGGCUCGUCGUCACCGUCUCCGAUCUCCUGCCCAAGAUCUCCGGUCUCCGCCUCCCUAUCGUCCUCCUCGACGGCGACGGCGCCCCCGUGCCUUCGGGCUGCCCCAGCAGUAACGUCACUCUCUACUCGGACCUCGUCGCCGGGGUGCAGGAGGCGGAGUACCGCCACACGCCGAUCGGGCAGGGCGACACAGCGGCGCUGUUCUACUCGUCGGGCACGACUGGGGAGAGCAAGGGCGUCGUGCUCACGCACCGCAACUUCAUCGCGGCAGCGACGAUGGUGACGUCGGACCAGGACGAGCUGGGGGAAGGCCACAACGUGUUCCUCUGCUUCCUGCCCAUGUUCCACAUCUUCGGCAUGUCCGUGAUCACCCUCGGCCAGCUGCAGCGCGGCAACGCCGUCGUCGUGAUGGCCCGGUUCGACGUCGACGCCGUGCUGGCCGCCAUCGAGCGGCACCGCGUCACGUACCUCUUCUGCGCCCCGCCGGCGAUGAUCGCGCUCGCCAAGCACAGCAGGGGCGGCAGGUACGACCUCAGCUCGCUCAGAUGCAUCGGCUCUGGCGCCGCGCCGCUCGGCAAGGACGUCAUGGUGGCUAUGGCUGACAGGUUCCCCGGUGUCGACAUUAUCCAGGGUUAUGGUAUGACUGAAACCUGCGGGAUAAUAUCCCUGGAGUACGUACAGAAGGGUUGUGCCCGUCAGUUUGGUUCGACUGGAGCACUUGUCACAGGAGUUGAAGCAAAGAUCGUUAAUGCAAAGACAAUGAAGCAUCUUCCUCCGAGCCAACUAGGAGAAAUCUGUGUUCGAGGACCGAACAUAAUGGAAGGCUAUUUCAACAAUGUGCAAGCGACUGAGUCUACAAUCAAGAAUGGAUGGUUGCAUACCGGUGAUCUUGGAUACUUCGAUGAAAGAGGCCAGCUUCAUGUUGUCGAUAGACUUAAAGAACUGAUUAAGUACAAAGGCUUCCAGGUAUCCUGAUGCUGAAGCGGGGGAAGUUCCUAUCGCCUACGUUGUACUAUCACCGAAGAGUUCACUGGCCGAAGCUGAUGUCCAGAAAUUUAUCGAGAAACAGGUCGCGCACUACAAGAGGCUGAGGAAGGUAACGUUCGUGGGCAGCGUACCGAAAUCUGCUGCGGGGAAGAUUUUGAGGAGAGAGCUCAUCGCCCAAGUCAGACUGUCCAAGCUGUAGCAGAUUUAAUCUCGAUUUCACUGCAGCCCUUGUCGUCUGGGUUCUGCUGGACACAGAAGUGCAGAAUCUCUGCUGAGCACUGUACAAGAUUUGUCUAUCAAGUCACUGUCAGGAACCACACAUUUCAGUCUAGACAUGCCAGACACUGAUUUCUUUUUUUUGUUAAGGAAUAAAGCAUUCUGGCCUCUAGUAUCCACGGAUGAAUGAUGUAUCCUAUAUUGCUUGGAUUCUUCAAGAAAGUUAAAGUAAUAUAUAAUACUACA